GACGAACGCUGGCGGCGUGCUUAACACAUGCAAGUCGAACGGAAAGGCGCGGCUUUUGUGGGGUGCUCGAGUGGCGAACGGGGGAGUAACACGUGAGUAACCUGCCCUUGACUUUGGGAUAACUUCAGGAAACUGGGGCGAAUACAGGAGAGGAGCUCCUGCUGCGUGGUGGGGGUUGGAAAGUGUCGGCGGUUGGGGAUGGACUCGCGGCUUAUCAGCUUGUUGGUGGGGUAGUGGCUGACCAAGGCUUUGACGGGUAGCCGGCCUGAGAGGGUGACCGGCCACCUUGCUCCUGCGAUACGCCCCAGUCUCCUACGGUACGCAGCAGUCGGGAAUCUUGCACAAUGGCCGGAAGCCUGAUGCAGCAACCCCGCGUGCGUGAUGACCGCCUUCGGGUUGUAAACCGCUUUCGCCUGUGACGAAGCGUUAGUGACGGUACUUGGUCAAGAAGCACCGGCUAACUACGUG
rnacentral:rRNA from 1 species